CUGGCUGUGGUGCCACAAACCUGUAGUCCCAGUUACUUGGGAGGCUGAGGCAGGAGAAUCACUUGAACCUGGGGGGCAGAGGUUGCAGUGAGCCGAGAUCGAGCCACUGCACUCCAGCCUGGCGACAGAGCGAGACUCCGUCUCAAACAAACAAACACACACACAAAAAAACCUCUUAGGUAAUUGUUUGUGAAUUAGAGUUGGUUUAUAAUGCUCAUGCAUUAAAGUGUUUGGUGUGAAACAGAGUUUUUAAAAAUAUUGAGUGAUCUUAAAAUGACCCCAAUUUUUUUUCUUCUGGAGGGAAAAAUGUACUAGGACCAGAGGAUAAAAUCUUUAGCUAAAAUGAAAAUUAAAUAUUAUAGUAAGGUAUAUACUUCACCCAAACCAUGUUUCUACCUCGUUAGUACAACCAGAAAGUUGCCUAUAGAUGAUUCAGCUAGAAGACACCAACUAGUGUGACCAACAAGGCAACUUAGUGCUACGUGGGAAGUCAGAGAGGUGAGCCCUGUAAGUAAAACAAUUGGAUGCUCUGUACCAGUAAGGAAGGACAGUGAGUCUUCAUACAUUAUGCUCCCAAAAUAUCUGCUCUCUUUACCAUACCCUACAACAGAGCAUACCUGCUAGUUUUUGUUUUGUUUUGUUUUGUUUUUACACAUCCCUACUGAUCAAUGUCUGAGUCUGUAAUUGGGUGAUUGGGAGUACUUGUGUAUAUGCUGUUGACCUCUCUUCCUAGCACUGGAGUUUUAUGCUAGUAUGGUGGAACUGAGCAUGGGUUUAACCUGCCAUACCUCGUUAACCCAACUCACAAGCAGGAACUGCAGGAAUCACCAUACCUCAUUACCCUUUCUCAAGCAGGAAUUGCUACCGUAACUUGAAAGCUUACAGACCCUUGAGACAACAAAUCACAAAGUCCCCAGCAAACGGCAUUUCUCCAGUUCUAUGCUUUUAAAUUUCUAGAAUGUUCCUUUGAUAACCUUAAGUAAAUAGGGAUAAACAGGCUAAUAAUUCAUCUUCCAACUCUGGCUAAGUGUAGAAUGCAACAUGGAUCAAAGCCUUAGGGAGAAACCUGGCUCCUGGACUCUCUGGAGCCCCACAGGAUUGAGUUUGGUCAAAACAAUAGCAUAGCUAAGAAAGUAACAACACUUAGUCUUAGAAAAAUGAAAAAGAAUGCCAGCUUUAAGGGAUAUAAACUGAGUCUGCCUUUCUCACUCCCAGAGCCCAGUCCCACAGAUGGGACUAUUUUCGAAGAGAAAGUCAUCACUGAAGCAGUUCUUUUCAUUAAAGUUUCCUCAGGGCUGUCCUGUUCUGUCUUCGAGCAGGAUCCUUGACACAUAGAAGCUCCCAGGCACUUCUUCACCUGAGCUGAACUGCUCCAAUUGUAAAAAUAAAUAUGCUUUUUUGAACCUGGCCGUUCAUACAACCUAGAGGAAACGUAACACAGGAAAAGCAGCAUUGAAACUCAGAAUCCAGAUUUAAGUCUCAAUUAACUCACUGGUUUUGGUUUUAGCCCUGAAAACCAAUCAUCUUGGUGUUAGCACUGAAAGUCAUGUGUUCCAGGAAACCCCUAAGUUCCAGGUAAACCGAGAUGGUUGGUUACUCUAGGUGAAGGUGGGCAAUUCACUUCACGUGUCUGACCACCAGUUUCUUAUUCAUAAAUUAAGGAAAUUAACACCCACUGUGCUUACCCCACAAGGUAGUUAUGAAGAUGAAACCAGCUAAUGCCUAUGGAAGUAUCUCGAAAACUAUUUAUUCAACAUGAUAUAAACUAAAGAAAAAAUCCAUUUGAUAACAUCCACCUUAUAAAAUUUAAUAGUAAACAAAACUGAAUUGAGAAAGCCAUGAAACCCUUCUCGAGUCAUGUAAAAGCCCUGGUAUUAAAAACAAAUGCUAAAUCAGAAAUUUAACUAGUCAUACCUCUAAUUUAUUUCACUAUCUUUAGUCUCAUAAGCACUAUAAGAAUGCCUUAGCAACUUCUGGUACCCCUCCCCAUCACUUCUUCCCCUUCCCCUUGAGGAGGGCAAAGUCCUGUGUGGAACACCCAAGGCGCAAAGUAGAGCAGGGAGGAGCUGCUAUUGACAUGUCUUCAACGUGCGUUUCAGAGGUGCUGGACUGGGGGUAUCUCCUUAGGGAAAGGAGCUAUAAUCACGCUGUCUUUGGCCUGCAACACUGCAGGCAGGCACAAUGGCAGGCUGUGCUCCAGUCAAUUAUCAUUUGGAAUUAAUGGGUGGAAGGGAGCAAGACAUUGUUAUUUUUCUCAUGCCAAGGCUAGACUUGAGAACAGGGCAUGUUUGUGCGUCUCUGGUUAAAUGAGAGAGAGGAUCUAGAGUGUCUGCUUUUAAAUUAACCAGCCUAUGGAUUUCUCUGAAGAAAGUUCAUAAUAAAUACUGCAAAGUCUAUUCCAGACUCAGGCAUGGACAGGACCCCACCUCAGGUCACUGACAUUAUCUGGCCACCACCAAAAGCAUUGGGGCCAAGCUUUAUCAUAUGUAAAAGCCAGUAGGAAACACAGUAGUGAACAAAAUGCUCUGAUUUCGCAUAAGAUUUUAACCCUUAGUGCCAAUCUUGAGAAUUUUCUGACCUCUUAGACCUGGCUCCUUCCUGAGAGGGAUAUGACACACUGGUUAAGAAUGUGGAUUCUGGAGCUAGAGUGACGUAAUAUCAAAGUCUGGCUCUAACACUAAUUGACCAUGUAACCUAGACGAUUGAAUUACUCUCUGUGAUCAGUUUUCUCAUCUGUAAAGUGAGAAUAAAACAUAAUACCUAAUUCACAGAGGUGUGAAAAUUAAGAAAGUUAAUAUAUGUAAAACACUCAGAACUGUGCCUGGCAAUGAUUCUUGAGUUAUUGAGAGUUAGUAACUCUCAAUAUAAUAACAUGCUAGCAACAUUAGCUCUCAUUCCAGAGACUCUAGUGUCCUCUCAUUCUUCUUUCUUUUUUCACCUUCCAG
rnacentral:lncRNA from 1 species